GUGAGGAAUAUUGCGCAAUGGGGGCAACCCUGACGCAGCAACGCCGCGUGAACGAUGAAGGCCUUCGGGUUGUAAAGUUCUUUUCUGGGGGACGAUAGUGACGGUACCUCAGGAAUAAGUCCCGGCUAACUACGUGCCAGCAGCCGCGGUAAAACGUAGGGGGCGAGCGUUAUCCGGAUUUACUGGGCGUAAAGCGCGCGUAGGCGGCGCUGUAAGUUGGAUGUGAAAGCUCCCGGCUUAACUGGGAGAGGUCGUUCAAUACUGCAGUGCUUGAGGUUGACAGAGGAGAGUGGAAUUCCCGGUGUAGUGGUGGAAUGCGUAGAUAUCGGGAGGAACACCAGUGGCGAAAGCGGCUCUCUGGGUCACACCUGACGCUGAGGUGCGAAAGCGUGGGUAGCGAACGGGAUUAGAAACCCGAGUAGUCC
rnacentral:rRNA from 1 species